UCAAAUCUUCAUGCUUCAGGCCC
rnacentral:piRNA from 1 species